rnacentral:rRNA from 1 species
CAGCAGUAGCCGCGGUAAUACGAAGGGGGCUAGCGUUGCUCGGAAUGACUGGGCGUAAAGGGCGCGUAGGCGGCCUACACAGUCAGAUGUGAAAUUCCUGGGCUCAACCUGGGGACUGCAUUUGAUACGUGUAAGCUUGAGUGGAGAAGAGGGUCGUGGAAUUUCCAGUGUAGAGGUGAAAUUCGUAGAUAUUGGAAAGAACACCGGUGGCGAAGGCGGCGACCUGGUCUUUUACUGACGCUGAGGCGCGAAAACGUGGGGAGCAAACAGGAUUAGAUACCCGCGUAGUCCCUGUCUCUUAUAC